CAGUCGCCGCGGUAAUACAGAGGGUGCAAGCGUUAAUCGGAUUUACUGGGCGUAAAGGGCGCGUAGGUGGUUAUGUAAGUGAGAUGUGAAAUCCCCGGGCUCAACCUGGGAACUGCAUCUUAUACUGCGUAGCUGGAGUGCAGUAGAGGGUAGUGGAAUUUCCGGUGUAGCGGUGAAAUGCGUAGAUAUCGGAAGGAACACCAGUGGCGAAGGCGGCUACCUGGACUGACACUGACACUGAGGCGCGAAAGCGUGGGGAGCAAACAGGAUUAGAUACCCCUGUAGUCCCUGUCUCUAUACA
rnacentral:rRNA from 1 species